CAAUAGCGUAUAUUUAAGUUGUUGCAGUUAAAAAGCUCGUAGUUGGAUUUCGGUUAAGAGCGACCGGUCCGCCGUUUGGUGUGCACUGGUUGGUUUUAACUUCCUGUAGAGGACGUGCUCUGGGUUUAACGACCUGGACUCGGAGUCUACGUGGUUACUUUGAAAAAAUUAGAGUGUUCAAAGCGGGCUUACGCUUGAAUAUUUCAGCAUGGAAUAACACUAUAGGACUCCUGUCCUAUUUCGUUGGUCUCGGGACGGGAGUAAUGAUUAAGAGGAACAGUUGGGGGCAUCCGUAUUUCAUUGUCAGAGGUGAAAUUCUUGGAUUUAUGAAAGACGAACUUCUGCGAAAGCAUUUGCCAAGGAUGUUUUCAUUAA
rnacentral:rRNA from 1 species